UUCCUUCCUUCCUUCCUUCCUUCCUUCCUUCCUUCCUUCCUUUCCUUCCUUCCUUCCUUCCUUCCUUCCUUCCUUCCUUCCUUGAAACGAACAGAGCUUCAAAUCCGAAUUACGUUACUGUGAGCAGAGGGAAAAAGGAAGAGUUUCACCAAAGCCUGUGUUUGCAAACAUGGUCGAGGUUCUAUUUUGCAGAGAAGAAAGCCAAACUAAUGAGAGAAAGCACUGGAUAGUUUGCAGAGUUCAAGACCCCCGUCUUGGGCAUCUCAGCCGACUCUCGGAGCGAUUUUUCCUUCCCCCCACCCCAAGGCCUGCCCAUCCUGGCUCCCCCUGCAAGGAAAUCUGGAGUCCCCUGGGAGUGUGGAAAGGAGAGGGAGGAAAGAGGGACCGCGAAGCAUCUAUGCCCUGAGCAACAGAUGAAGAAGUGGUCAGUAUUACUUUGCAAAACGGAGGGUCUUCCCCCCCGCGUGCCUUUCUACUUGGGGUGAUCCUAGUGGCCGCCACCCCAAGCCCACUAAACUGGGCGCUCGGUGCCUUUGAAGUCCGCAGACCGGGGCGGCAUAAAAGGUUGACGGAGACGUUUACACUGGGUGCGCCGGCGGGNGUGUGUGGGUAAAACUGGCGCAGCCCUGAAAGCCUACUCCUCGCUCCCCCCAUACCUCGCGUCACCCCUCCUGUAGCGUCCAGGUGGCCGCGUCCUUCCGGCCCACGUCUCCUUGGCUAAUCAGGGCGCACAGGCACCAGCUAUUCCCCGUGGGAACCACCACGAUCGCAGGAAAAAACCAGGCAACCAACGCGCGGGCCUUUAGCAAUCAUAUANACAUCUCCUCAUCUAUCAUCUUGCUAUGGCAUCCGCACUGAGUGACAUGGGUAAAUGGAGAGUGACAAAGACAGGUGGAACAAGGAAAUGUGUUAGCCCUCGUUCGGCGCAAAUGCUACAUAUUGCUGGGACAUUUUUGUUUCAAGUUGCAGACGGAGGAACAUAUGCUGGGCCUUAUCCACUCAAGUUGUCUCCUAAUCAUGCAUCUGUCUCAGGAAAAAACAAAGAAAAGACUCCAGCUUUCUUUCUUUCUUUGAUGGACGAGGGAACCACUCAGAAGAGCUUAGCUGUACCUGGACCACCCCUUCCCCAUUUUAAGAGAAGUCUUUUCAGCACAAACAUCGUUUCUUCUCCGUGGUUCUUUGUUAGAGCUGGAGUGCCCUGUUCACAGCAGCAGCAACCACCACCAUCACCAGUAUACAUAAAAAUGCUUGGUGGAUGAUUGGUUGUUCAUCCUUGCCGAGAUGGAUAAACUGACUAAUUUACUGAGAAAUAAAACAGUUGAUAGGUUUUAUGAAAACUGGAAA
rnacentral:lncRNA from 1 species